UGGGGAAUAUUGCACAAUGGGCGCAAGCCUGAUGCAGCGACGCCGCGUGGGGGAUGACGGCCUUCGGGUUGUAAACCUCUUUCAGCAGGGACGAAGCGAAAGUGACGGUACCUGCAGAAGAAGCACCGGCCAACUACGUGCCAGCAGCCGCGGUAAUACGUAGGGUGCGAGCGUUGUCCGGAAUUACUGGGCGUAAAGAGCUCGUAGGUGGUUUGUCGCGUUGUUCGUGAAAACCGGGGGCUUAACCCUCGGCGUGCGGCGAUACGGGCAGACUAGAGUACUGCAGGGGAGACUGGAAUUCCUGGUGUAGCGGUGGAAUGCGCAGAUAUCAGGAGGAACACCGGUGGCGAAGGCGGGUCUCUGGGCAGUAACUGACGCUGAGGAGCGAAAAGCGUGGGGGAGCGAACAGGAUUAGAUACCCUGGUAGUCCACGCCGUAAACGGUGGGUACUAGGUGUGGGGUUUCCUUCCUUGGGAUCCGUGCCGUAGCUAACGCAUUAAGUACCCCGCCUGGGGGAGUACGGCCGCAAGGCUAAAACUCAAAUGAA
rnacentral:rRNA from 1 species